AAUUUAAAAGGACACAUUUCAGUGCCUCUCAGAAGGGGUUAACAUCACAGAAUUCCAAGUCUGAGGGUGGAACCCUGAUCCCAAGAAGGUUUUGUUGAGUUCAGGACAGUAUUUCUUUACCCAUCCUUCAUGAAGAUAAAAAAUGAAGCAAAAUAGACACUAAAAUGGUCCUGACAUCUCUUCAGGCCACCAGACAAGGAGUAACCAUGGUAACAAGAAGCCUAGAAAAAUUGGGAAAUGAGGAAGACCAGGAAUGAGAGAUCCCGUCAGCCCUGGGGGGAACUGAGUGUCCACAGCUGAGCCUUCUCUGCCUCCCUCUUCUCUUCUGGAUUCUGAUGGAGGAUAUUUUCAUCUUCCUCCCAAAGUCAUCAGAAAACAUAGGGACAUAUAUAAACCGCUUUGCAAAAAAAGAGUGUGUGGAAUAAAAGAGAAAAUGAAGAAGAGAAAGGCUGGAGUGCAAUGGUGUGAUCUCGGCUCACUGCAGCCUCAACCUCCCUGGCUCAGGUGAUUCCCCCACCUCAGCUUCCUGAUUAACUGGGAUUACAGGAGCUGGGAGAUGGGAAAGUCACCAGACCAUGAGCCGGAGGAGGAUUCCCACACUCAGGCCUCCAUGGGCACCACGAGGACUGGACAUGUGACCCCAGCUCUCUGGGUCUCAGUUUCGUCUCCUGCAGAGCAUCUGAGCUACACCGUCUCUAAAAUUUCAUCAAGCUCCUGUGUUCCAUUCUGUUCUGAGAUACCCAAUUCUUAUGCCUGCUAAAAACCACAGUGAGAAAGAAUAACCUAUGUCCACAUUUUGGUUUCCUAGGAGAAAUAUCAACAUGUGUCUGCCAAAUAAAAUAUUGUAUUAAAU